GAGUUUGUUGGUUGGUCGGGCUUUACUGUCCGCACUGGCCUGAUGGAUUCCUAUCUUCUGAAUAACCAGCAUGCUAUUAAGUUAGUGCGUUGGGGAAGCAGAGCUAUUACCUUGAAAAAAUUAGAGUGCUUAAAGCAGGCUUUUGCUUGAAUAGAUUAGCAUGGAAUAAUAAAAUAGGACGGCAUGGUUCUAUUUUGUUGGUUUCUAGAGUCGCCGUA
rnacentral:rRNA from 1 species